rnacentral:lncRNA from 1 species
GUGAGGAGGAGAGCCCUGGGGGGCCUCCCAGCGGGAGGAGGAGGGGGCCAGGAGAAGGAGGCCACAAGUCUGCUGGAAGAUAAGAAGACCCCAAUCCCUGAAAGACAGGCCUGGGGGAAGCAACCUCAGGGCACAGGUGGGGGACAGAGGCCUAGAGAAAGACAGGGACUUGUCACCCAGGGCACCAAUGAGCACUUAUCAAACAUCUACUGAG